GGAGGGGUUGCCGAGUUUUGGCAUCAAAUUCUUCAGUCCAGCUGCUCUCUUUUAAGUGUCAAUGGCCUUACUCUAUAGCAUCCAGACUGGUCAAGGUCCCUAUAAUGAGAAACCCAAGUUACAGAGUGGAACAUUGAAAUUGGCAUUUGGCACUCAGAAGAUUCCAGGAAUCUGUUGCUCUUCUGAACGUUUCAGGGUUAGUCGAUGUCUACAUGUAGUGGUGCAAAGCAACCUCAGCCCUAUGGUCCAGUAUUUGCCCAUCAAAACUUGUCUUAUGAUUUAUAGAACUGGAACUUCACUGCAUGUUGAAGAGUAUGAAUUUAAAAAUAAUUGUGAACACAUCUUCGUCAUCGAUUCUUGUACCUCUUCAGUGUGCUAAAUUCAACACAGAGAAAAUCUGCAGUUGACUCUUGGCUGUUUUCUAAAGAUUCCCUUUGGUAUGCAACAUCUCUUUGUAAUUCAACAACACUUUCUCCUACAGUAAGAAGGAGCUUAGAGUCAUAUCAGAAAGACUGACUAUCCUGGGUCAGAACCUCAAUAUUUCUGGGUAAUUAUUGUGCUUUAUUGAAACAAAAGAUCAGCUGCUAUGAUAAUGUGAAAUGUUAU
rnacentral:lncRNA from 1 species